GAUGAACGCUAGCGGCAGGCCUAAUACAUGCAAGACGAACGGUAAGUUGAGUAGCAAUACUUAGCCAAGAGUGUCGUACGGGUGCGUAACACGUAUGCAACCUACCCUAUACAGGAGGAUAGCCUAGGGAAACCUGGAUUAACCCUUCAUAGUAUUAUUGGAUGGCAUCAUUUGAUAAUUAAAACUGAGGUGGUAUAGGAUGGGCAUGCGUCUGAUUAGUUAGUUGGCGGGGUAAUGGCCCACCAAGACGAUGAUCAGUAGGGGUUCUGAGAGGAAGAUCCCCCCACACUGGCACUGAGAUACGGGCCAGACUCCUACGGGAGGCAGCAGUAGGGAAUAUUGGGUCAAUGGAUGCAAGUCUGAACCAGCCAUGCCGCGUGCAGGGAAGAAGGCCCUUUCUGGGGUUGUAAACUGCUUUUGCCAGGGGAUAAAAUUUCCAUGCGUGGAAAACUGAAGGUACCUGGUGAAUAAGCCACGGCUAACUCCGUGCCAGCAGCCGCGGUAAU
rnacentral:rRNA from 1 species